AAAUGAAGCGGUCUGGAAAGGCCCGCCAAAGACGGUAACAGCCCGGUAGUUGAAAUGGCUUUCCCUCCAGAGUGGAUCCUGAGUACGGCGGAACACGUGAAAUUCCGUCGGAAUCCGGGAGGACCAUCUCCCAAGGCUAAAUACUCCCUAGUGACCGAUAGUGAACCAGUACCGUGAGGGAAAGGUGAAAAGCACCCCGGAAGGGGAGUGAAACAGUUCCUGAAACCGUGUGCCUACAAGUAGUUAGAGCCCGUUAAUGGGUGAUAGCGUGCCUUUUGUAGAAUGAACCGGCGAGUUACGAUUUGUUGCAAGGUUAAGCGGAAAAAGCGGAGCCGUAGCGAAAGCGAGUCUGAAUAGGGCGCAUAAGUAACAGGUCGUAGACCCGAAACCAGGUGAUCUACCCAUGUCCAGGAUGAAGGUAAGGUAAUACUUACUGGAGGUCCGAACCCACGCACGUUGAA
rnacentral:rRNA from 1 species